UCUCCGUUGGUGAACCAGCGGAGGGAUCAUUACCGAGUUGAAAACGCCCAAACCCCAUGUUAAACUUACCAAACGUUUGUUCGGCGGGAUGCCCCGGUCGCGGGCCGCAAUGCCUAAGACCCGUAACCAGGCGCCCGCCGGAGGCUCAAACUAAACUCUUGUUUUUGUAGAAUCUUAUGAGUGGACUUUUAGGCAAAAAAUGAAUCAAAACUUUCAACAACGGAUCUCUUGGUUCUG
rnacentral:misc_RNA from 1 species